rnacentral:lncRNA from 1 species
AAAGAAAUUUCCAACAAAGACAGCAUAACUAUCUGAUUUGUAUCUUAGAAUCACAUGGGAGAAAUACUGACCACUAGGCAAUGAGGAGACAACUAAGAAGUCCUUCAAGGUCUCAGGCUGCUUUUCAGAAGCAAACUACUAUGUAAUAACAGGCCAACACGGGAGGAAGUCGACAAACGCCACAAGGCAUGGGUUCCUGCCCGGGCAAGCGGAGAGCUUGGCCCGCAGGCUUUGCCUGUCCUGCGCUGUUCCCAGGAAGCCACCUCUGAGGCAGAAGCUGGGCUGCGAUGCAUCAUAAGGCCUUCUUGCCUGUUGAGCUCUGACGCGAGCUUUUCA